rnacentral:rRNA from 1 species
CCUACGGGUGGCAGCAGUGAGGAAUAUUGGUCAAUGGGCGGGAGCCUGAACCAGCCAAGCCGCGUGAGGGAAGAAGGUACAGCGUAUCGUACACCUCUUUUGUCAGGGAACAAAGGCGGGGACUAGUCCCCGGAUGAGGGUAUCUGAUGAAUAAGCAUCGGCUAACUCCGUGCCAGCAGCCGCGGUAAUACGGAGGAUGCGAGCGUUAUCCGGAUUUAUUGGGUUUAACGGGUGCGCAGGCGGCUGGUUAAGUCAGCGGUAAAAGGCUGGUGCUCAACCCCGACGAGCCGUUGAUACUGGCGGGCUUGAGUUGGAGAGAAGUACGCGGAAUGCGCGGUGUAGCGGUGAAAUGCUUAGAUAUCACGCAGAACUCCGAUUGCGAAGGCAGCAUACCGGCGCCCAACUGACGCUGAAGCACGAAAGCGUGGGUAUCGAACAGGAUUAGAUACCCGUGUAGUC